rnacentral:lncRNA from 1 species
GGUUCAGCAAGGCGCCGGACGGUGCUGGUAAACUGUUGAAAUUGGCGAGACUGUUAUUUGGCGUGGCUUCCAGCGGCAGGCUGCUACUAAGCUGAGAAUCGAUCCCCAUGCGUCGCUGUGUCUACUUCUCAAACACGCAAGGGUGCGGCACUCCAUUCAUCUCUUCCUGAGCAAAUCAGCUCCCUGCACACCGCGGACGUGCUAAGUCCUCCUCGAUCAACAGAAGGCAUCUGGGGUCUGAAACCCACCUCUCAGUGUCUAGGGCUUAAAACGAUGUCAGAGAAAUUCUACACCACCCAAAGCUAAAUGCACGCAUUGGCCUUCGAAGUCAACAUGAACAGAAAGUUUGUUCCACUCGCCUAGGAUUAAAACCAGAUCCACUGUUACUUGUCCCAUUAGCAGCUGGCUAUUGCAUUACCUAAAGUCUUGGAGAUGAGGUCGGUAUCUCUAGUCUCUCGUAACUUCAUGGACCUCCUAGCAGUGCAGUUGGGAGACCUGUCAUCCUGACGUCUUGCGUUGCCCACUGGACUUUUCCCAACCUUGUGCAAGAAAAACGAGCGAGUCUGUCUCAGAAUCUCUGUCUUUUGUUUUUAUGCAUUGACAGAAUUAAACCCACUUUUUAAAGCCUAAUUAUCUCGCUUUUCAAGUGUUUAGAUCGUGGUGGUUGGCUCUUUAAGUCUAGCUAAAGAAACCUGUCUAGCGUGCGACACUGCAUGCAUUAUCUGAAUAUGCAUUUCCGACCAUAUCAAACCGUUGUUUGUGCCAGAGCGUGGUAUUGAGGUGUG